AUGGCUCAGGAUGAACGCGUGGCGGCGUGCCUAACACAUGCAAGUCGAACGAAGCAUUGAUCCGGAUCAGUUUCGGUGUGAAGGAGCUUAUGACUUAGUGGCGGACGGGUGAGUAACGCGUGGGCAACCUGCCCUUAACCGGGGGACAACAGUUGGAAACGGCUGCUAAUACCGCAUAAGCUUUUUGAGACGUAUGUUUUAGAAAGUAAAGGAGGCGCAAGCUUUCGCUUAUGGAUGGGCCCGCGUCUGAUUAGCUAGUUGGUAGGGUAGAGGCCUACCAAGGCAACGAUCAGUAGCCGGCCUGAGAGGGUGGACGGCCACACUGGGACUGAGAACGGCCCAGACUCCUACGGGAGGCAGCAGUGGGGAAUAUUGCGCAAUGGGGGAAACCCUGACGCAGCGACGCCCGCGUGAGCGAAGAAGGCCUUCGGGUUGUAAAGCUCUGUUGUAAGGGACGAAUGUCUAGGGUAGUAACUGACCUUAGAAUGACGGUACCUUACCAGCAAGCCCCGGCUAACUACGUGCCAGCCGCGGC
rnacentral:rRNA from 1 species